AGAGUUUGAUCAUGGCUCAGGAUGAACGCUAGCUACAGGCUUAACACAUGCAAGUCGAGGGGCAGCGGGAUUGAAGCUUGCUUCAAUUGCCGGCGACCGGCGCACGGGUGAGUAACGCGUAUCCAACCUUCCGUACACUCAGGGAUAGCCUUUCGAAAGAAAGAUUAAUACCUGAUGGUAUGAUGAAAUUGCAUGAUAGCAUCAUUAAAGAUUUAUCGGUGUACGAUGGGGAUGCGUUCCAUUAGGGUAGUAGGCGGGGUAACGGCCCACCUAGCCUACGAUGGAUAGGGGUUCUGAGAGGAAGGUCCCCCACAUUGGAACUGACGACACGGUCCAAACUCUACGGGAGGCA
rnacentral:rRNA from 1 species